rnacentral:lncRNA from 1 species
UUUCCUUUUCGUUUAUCGUUUAUGCCCUAGAGGCGUGUGAUCGUGGUCGGUUGUAACCUGAAGAACAUUGUAUUCCCUUUUCGUUCCAUAGUGAAGUUCUCUCCUCCCUCGCCCGUGGUUUUUCCCUGCAAAGGGUUUUCCACGUAAAUCUGUGUCUCUUUAUUUUCUGCUUGUGGUUUGAUUGUUUUUUGUGUUCGUCAUUUCAUUUCCGUUUGUGCGUUUGUCGUAACAUCAACCUAUAAUGCCAUCUUAAUCACCUCAUCCCGAGUCUAAAGAUGCUGCGGCCGUACUAACCGAUAAAUCUCUAGUCGUAGCCUCCUCUCAAAUAAACGUUCAUCCCGUAUUGCAAAAGAUACGCAAUUCAUAACUCGAACAAACUAUCUCACAUACUCCUGUAUAGACCGAUCUUCUUGCCUCAUCUUCUUUAGAUCAUCUUCAAGUUUUUCCUUCACAUUAACCA